GUAGCGGCGAGCGAAACGGGAAAAGCCCAAACCAAUGAGCUUGCUCAUUGGGGUUGUAGGACUCCAAUAUGGUAGUUCUUUCAGAUAGUCGAAUGACUUGGAAAAGUCAGUCAAAGAGGGUAAAAACCCCGUAGAUGAAAUUUGGAAGGCACCUAGGAGGAUCCUGAGUACGGCGGAACACGAGGAAUUCCGUCGGAAUCCGGGGGGACCAUCUCCCAAGGCUAAAUACUCCCUAGUGACCGAUAGUGAACCAGUACCGUGAGGGAAAGGUGAAAAGCACCCCGGAAGGGGAGUGAAAUAGAACCUGAAACCGUGUGCCUACAACAAGUCAAAGCCCGUUAAUGGGUGAUGGCGUGCCUUUUGUAGAAUGAACCGGCGAGUUACGAUUGCAUGCGAGGUUAAGUUGAAGAGACGGAGCCGCAGCGAAAGCGAGUCUGAAUAGGGCGUUUGAGUAUGUAGUCGUAGACCCGAAACCAUGUGAUCUACCCAUGUCCAGGUUGAAGGUGCGGUAAAACGCACUGGAGGACCGAACCCACGUACGUUGAAAAGUGCGGGGAUGGGGUGUGGGUAGCGGAGAAAUUCCAAACGAACCUGGAGAUAGC
rnacentral:rRNA from 1 species